GACGAACGCUGGCGGCGUGCCUAACACAUGCAAGUCGAACGGAAAGGCUCUGCUUUUGUGGGGUGCUCGAGUGGCGAACGGGUGAGUAACACGUGAGUAACCUGCCCUGGACUUUGGGAUAACUUCUGGAAACUGGGGCAAAUACAGGAUAGGAGCUCCUGCUGCAUGGUGGGUGUUGGAAAGUUUCGGCGGUUGGGGAUGGACUCGCGGCUUAUCAGCUUGUUGGUGAGGUAGUGGCUUACCAAGGAUUUGACGAGUAGCCGAGCUGAGAGGGUGACCAGCCAAAUUAGGGCUGGGAUCCGACGCAGACUCCUCCGCGAGGCAGCAGUGGGGAAUAGUGCACGAUAGGCGGGAGCCUGACUGAACGACGCCGCGAACGCGAUGACGGCCUUCAGGUUGUAAACCGCUUUCGCCUGUGACGAAGCGUGAGUGACGGUAAUGGGUAAGGAAGCAACGGCUAACUACGUG
rnacentral:rRNA from 1 species